rnacentral:lncRNA from 1 species
GCGAGAUAGUCCAGUGGGCCCACAGAUAACGACCAUCAGAGAUUAAAGAAGGAAAGUCAGCGAGCUUGAACACAGGCGUCCCGUGUGGAAAUGUCCAAGGAGACCGCCAGAAGUGCGCAAGCCGGAGUCGGCUAGAGUUUCCUUCUCACCGAGAGGGGGAGCCCGGCGUUCCCGGCCGGGAGCGACCCGGAGUCCCCAGCCCCGCGUCCCAGCUGCCGCCAGCGCCAGUUUUGGAUUCGGCGGAUUAGGAAGAGGAGGGAGGGGGGAGAGAGCGCGAAGAGGGAGGGGACCGAAGCUGGAGGGUCCCGAGUCCAGCGCCGUGUUGGCGUAGAGAAACUUUCCCUCUCGGCCUCGGAGACGGCGCCCCGGCCGUGCCGGAGUGGAGAUCGCCAGGCUCGGAGGAACCGGCAGCUCUCCACGCCCCUGCCCGAAGCCUGACCCGACUGCCUCUCUCAGUGAGCAGCAAGAAUUGAAGACUUAAGGGUUUGAGCAGAUGGUUUUCUACCUAAAUUGAAUAAUUCAAUUACGUAUUCUCAGCU